rnacentral:rRNA from 1 species
UACGUAGGUGGCAAGCGUUGUCCGGAAUUAUUGGGCGUAAAGCGCGCGCAGGCGGUCCUUUAAGUCUGAUGUGAAAGCCCACGGCUCAACCGUGGAGGGUCAUUGGAAACUGGGGGACUUGAGUGCAGAAGAGGAGAGUGGAAUUCCACGUGUAGCGGUGAAAUGCGUAGAGAUGUGGAGGAACACCAGUGGCGAAGGCGACUCUCUGGUCUGUAACUGACGCUGAGGCGCGAAAGCGUGGGGAGCAAACAGGAUGAGAAACCCCCGUAGUCC